rnacentral:lncRNA from 1 species
GGGCCAGAUUUACCUCAGGGUAGCCGCCGCCGCUUCUCCCUCUCACGGGCUCUGCAGGCCGCCAUUAUCGGGCAGCUCGCGCCUCAGCCGCGGCGGCCUCCAGUCAGAGACCGGCGCGCGCCCCCGUGGUGCGCGCGGACACACCCCCUUACGCCGUGCGGCCCCGCCCCCCUCCGGCUUUCCGUAGCGCGAGCCGGGACGCCGAGCGCCAUCCUUAUUGGGCGCGCGCCCCGCGCUCCGCCGUCCUCCUCCCUCUCCCGAGGCUUUCAGGAGCCGGGAGUCGCCGAAGGUGUGCGCGCCCCGGAACGCACCACUAGUGCCCCUCCCCGCAGGGGUGGCCGGGUCCGGGAACGCGGAGGCCGCUGCACGCCGGGACUCGGUAUCCGUAAAGCCGCAGCGGGCGCGCACGGCCCGCGGCCCCUGGGAUGGUCUGCGGCAGCAGGUCCGGGCCUGGGGGUGCGCGCGCCCGGCGCGGCCUCCCCGCUCCCUCCCCGCCCCCCUUCCCACCUACCGAGCUGCGGGCAGGUGUGCGGGGGUCGCUGGGGCGGAACGCCUGGUGCAUCUUCUUCGGCUCGGGCCUGGGGUGCCUGCGGGACGCGGAGCUCUUCGGCGGGCCCGCGGGGAGGCGCGGCCCGAGCUGGGAGGCCUGGCGUCCGCCCCGCCGGGAGGGAGGCUGCACCUUUUGUCAGAGUCACUGAGCCAUGUUUGCGGACGGUGCAGUUGCCCAGGCGGCGGCGGCGCGGGACUGGGUGCGAUCAUCUGGGAGGACGCCGUCCCCUGCCCCGCCGGCGCGGUGGUAUCUCCCUUAAAGAACCCGGCGCCUCAUUGUUCCCGGGCCCCGGCCGCCGGGAGUCGGGGGCGCCCUGCCCGGCGCCGAGAGGAAGGGGAGGCGGUGCCGGCCCCUGGCGCCCUGCCCGGCGGCUGCCCCCGCGUGGAGUCCGGAUCCAACCCGCGAGCGGCGACGGGCGGCGGUCCGAGGCAGCCGGGGCCGGGAUGGACCGCGAAGACGGCUGUACCCUCGCGGCCAGACUGACAGCGGUCCGUCAGAUCCCGGCCCUCAGUCGCCUGACAGCCAGCCCGGGACUGUCAGCGACUCAGAGGCUCGGACCAAUCCAUUAUUCAGUUAGUUACACAGAUCAGUAA